rnacentral:rRNA from 1 species
UACGUAGGGCGCAAGCGUUGUCCGGAAUUAUUGGGCGUAAAGAGCUCGUAGGCGGCUUGUCACGUCGGGUGUGAAAGCCCGGGGCUUAACCCCGGGUCUGCAUUCGAUACGGGCUGGCUAGAGUGUGGUAGGGGAGAUCGGAAUUCCUGGUGUAGCGGUGAAAUGCGCAGAUAUCAGGAGGAACACCGGUGGCGAAGGCGGAUCUCUGGGCAAUUACUGACGCUGAGGAGCGAAAGCGUGGGGAGCGAACAGG